UGAGUUGCGAACGGGUGAGUAACGCGUAGGUAACCUGCCUGGUAGCGGGGGAUAACUAUUGGAAACGAUAGCUAAUACCGCAUAAUAGUAGAUGUUGCAUGACAUUUGCUUAAAAGGUGCAAUUGCAUCACUACCAGAUGGACCUGCGUUGUAUUAGCUAGUUGGUGGGGUAACGGCUCACCAAGGCGACGAUACAUAGCCGACCUGAGAGGGUGAUCGGCCACACUGGGACUGAGACACGGCCCAGACUCCUACGGGAGGCAGCAGUAGGGAAUCUUCGGCAAUGGACGGAAGUCUGACCGAGCAACGCCGCGUGAGUGAAGAAGGUUUUCGGAUCGUAAAGCUCUGUUGUAAGAGAAGAACGAGUGUGAGAGUGGAAAGUUCACACUGUGACGGUAUCUUACCAGAAAGGGACGGCUAACUACGUGCCAGCAGCCGCGGUAAUACGUAGGUCCCGAGCGUUGUCCGGAUUUAUUGGGCGUAAAGCGAGCGCAGGCGGUUAGAUAAGUCUGAAGUUAAAGGCUGUGGCUUAACCAUAGUACGCUUUGGAAACUGUUUAACUUGAGUGCAAGAGGGGAGAGUGGAAUUCCAUGUGUAGCGGUGAAAUGCGUAGAUAUAUGGAGGAACACCGGUGGCGAAAGCGGCUCUCUGG
rnacentral:rRNA from 1 species